CGGGCCAGCGAGGAGCUGCCUCGUGAGGGGUCCGGGCCAGCGAGGAGCUGCCUCGUGAGGGGUCCGGGCCAGCGAGGAGCUGCCUCGUGAGGGGUCCGGGCCAGCGAGGAGCUGCCUCGUGAGGGGUCCGGGCCAGCGAGGAGCUGCCUCGUGAGGGGUCGUUGCCGCGGGCAGUGCCCUCCCUGCCUCCUGGAGCCGAGCCCGGCGCUGCCCCGAGGGAGCCCCGCCAGGAAGGCACCGCGGACUCCUUGAGCUGAGCCAUCAACGGGGCUGCCUGAACCUUCCUUCGGUGCAUCACAGUUGUGUGGAGCUGAGGAUCUCCUUCACGGAGAUGAAGAGUCAGAAGGAAAGGUCUGUCUCUCCAGAACAUCGUGUCUUCUUCACACAUGAAGCCCUUUUGAAAUCAGUGACACUACAGCCUGGGAAACUGCUAACUUCAGAAUUGCAUCCAGAGAAACACUGGGGCCGCGUACCAAGAAUUCUUCUCUUUUGCCGAGUACACUUGCGUCGGUUUGAAACGGAAAAAAACCUGAUUAGCUGAAAACAAGAUUGUUCUUUUCAUAGGAAAGAGAAAUGAGAAAUUUUCUGGUCUCAUCAAUGACCUCAAAAGAUUUGGGCAAAGAAAAUGUAUAAAUUUACUGUGUAAUUCUGUAAUGAUUUAGAUCAGUGACAGCUUGUCUGU